rnacentral:rRNA from 1 species
AUUAAACGCUGGCGGCAUGCCUUACACAUGCAAGUCGAACGGUAACGGGCCUUCGGGUGCCGACGAGUGGCGAACGGGUGAGUAAUGCAUCGGAACGUACCUUUCAGUGGGGGAUAACGUAGCGAAAGUUACGCUAAUACCGCAUAUUCUGUGAGCAGGAAAGCAGGGGAUCGCAAGACCUUGCGCUGAUUGAGCGGCCGAUAUCAGAUUAGCUAGUUGGUGAGGUAAAGGCUCACCAAGGCGACGAUCUGUAGCGGGUCUGAGAGGAUGAUCAGCCACACUGGAACUGAGACACGGUCCAGACUCCUACGGGAGGCAGCAGUGGGGAAUCUUGCGCAAUGGGCGAAAGCCUGACGCAGCGACGCCGCGUGGGUGAUGAAGGCCUCGGUUGGUAAAGACCCUCGUGGGGAGGGGACGGAAGUAACGAACG